GAUGAACGCUGGCGGCGUGCCUAAUACAUGCAAGUCGAGCGAACAGACGAGGAGCUUGCUCCUCUGACGUUAGCGGCGGACGGGUGAGUAACACGUGGAUAACCUACCUAUAAGACUGGGAUAACUUCGGGAAACCGGAGCUAAUACCGGAUAAUAUAUUGAACCGCAUGGUUCAAUAGUGAAAGACGGUUUUGCUGUCACUUAUAGAUGGAUCCGCGCCGCAUUAGCUAGUUGGUAAGGUAACGGCUUACCAAGGCAACGAUGCGUAGCCGACCUGAGAGGGUGAUCAGCCACACUGGAACUGAGACACGGUCCAGACUCCUACGGGAGGCAGCAGUAGGGAAUCUUCCGCAAUGGGCGAAAGCCUGACGGAGCAACGCCGCGUGAGUGAUGAAGGUCUUCGGAUCGUAAAACUCUGUUAUUAGGGAAGAACAGAUGUGUAAGUAACUAUGCACGUCUUGACGGUACCUAAUCAGAAAGCAACGGCUAACUACGUG
rnacentral:rRNA from 1 species